CAAGUAGGUUCUGUGACAUGUAAUAACAUUUGUCCAGUGGCAAACCAGUUGUGUACUUGUCGCUAUAUGAAGAAGUAAUCAAGAUCUACCAGAGGUGAAACCAAGAACUCUAGUUAAUUAAAAAGUUCAAGGAUGCCACGGAAUAUUAAACAGUUAAUAAUACACAAUAUACAUCUUCUUAUUAUUAUACAGUUGAUUAAUUAACUACCAAAAUAAAAAUAUUUUAAUGUUAAAA